ensembl:lncRNA
AAAAAAGCUAAUUAAUUUAACCGUUCUGUAUAAUAUGGUAUCAUCCUGUAUUUAACGCUUUAAAGAAGCAUUAUGAGAGCUGUAUGGAACGCAGUUUGUCCCGUAUUUAAGGCAUAUGCCGUAUGACCACCUAGACCAUACGAAUACCAAACUCUAAGCUGAGCAUCUAUUUUUCUUUUUUGACCAGUGUUUGAUUUGUGAGCAUAGCUGUUCGGGGGAGGCUUUAAGACUAAGCGGAAUCCUCUGCCGGCUGCUCAAGCGAGCGCGUCUCGCGCUAACCGAGUUAGGUUUUAUUAACGUCCGCGUUUCGACUUCAGCUCACGUUAAUCAGUUUGGGAGAAUGCAAACAACGUGAUUCCAACAUCCAGCCAUGCAAGAAAACGUGCAUUUUACCUGAGGGAAGACAGAAUCAAUAAGGAAAGUCGUCUUUCUUUAAUGUAGCAGAGUUGGAGUGGACCUCUUGUUGAAGAACUUCUCCAGGCACUAUGAACCAUCUGACUAAUGCUGUCAUGAAAAGGCAACUGCUGGACACCUGGGACAGGCCAUCAAUUCCAAGUUGGCGGAACUGAGGUUUCAACUGAAGAAAAAGGAGACCUGUUAGAGUUUAGAGUUGUCUAAUAGAGAGGGUGAAGGAAGAACAUCCAAACCCUGCCCCUGCUUCCUUCAAGAUUUUUUAUGGAUUUAUAUAAUGGUGUUUUUUUGUAAAGAAAAGACAGUGGCAAAAUUAACAUGACACUACUUUGAUGUUUUGUUCUACAAAUUAAACCACACACACACUCCAAAAACACCAAUUUUGAUACAAUUUGCAUUUGCAAGAAAAAAAACAUCAAAGUAUUGUCAUGUUAAUUUAGCCACUGCCUUUACUUUACGAAAAAACAUCAUUUUAUAAAUCCAUAAAAAAUCUUGAAGAAAUCAGGGGCAGGGUUUGGAUGUUCUUCUUUCACCCUCUCUAUUAGACAACUCUAAAAUUGAUUUUUUUUUACACAGACUUUAAUUAAUAAAAAAAAAAAAAAACUUCUCUUCAAGAAUUACUUUUCAGGUUUUAGCAUCAUCCUUUAGUAUUCAUAAUAGCAAUUUCAGUAAAGUUGCUGGUUUGAUUUAUGUUUUAAUUGUGCAGUUUAUGUGCAUUCUGUUCA